UACGUAGGGGUCAAGCGUUAUCCGGAUUUAUUGGGCGUAAAGAGCUCGUAGGCGGCCGUUCGCGUCGGAUGUGAAAGCUCAGGGCUCAACUCUGAGAUGCCAUUCGAUACGGGACGGCUAGAGGUAGGUAGGGGAGAGUGGAAUUCCUGGUGUAGCGGUGAAAUGCGCAGAUAUCAGGAGGAACACCGGUGGCGAAGGCGGCUCUCUGGGCCUUACCUGACGCUGAGGAGCGAAAGCUGGGGGAGCGAACAGG
rnacentral:rRNA from 1 species